AUCCCAUGAUGUGGACAUUUUUGAAUCAGUGUCUUAAAACACUCCCAAGCUUUGUGAAAACUCUCUCCCUCUAACUAUUUGAACAUGACAAUCUCCCUUCUUAGCU
rnacentral:snoRNA from 1 species